CCAGAAUCCAGAACUAGCCACACUAUACACACACACACACACACACACACACACCAAGGGUACCCACACUGUAACAACAAUUAAACAAAGAACCACAGAAUGACAGAGAGUAAAAUGGUCAUGUACAUGUUAACACCACUAGUACCAAAUAUUUAAAAUGUAGCAAUCCCCAGCCCUCCCCCACCAGGCUGGCCCCAUUAUAACACAAGUACCAAUGAAAC